AGCAUGGUCUUAGCUUGCUAAGGCCGAUGGCGACCGGCGCACGGGUGAGUAACACGUAUCCAACCUGCCGUCUACUCUUGGACAGCCUUCUGAAAGGAAGAUUAAUACAAGAUGGCAUCAUGAGUCCGCAUGUUCACAUGAUUAAAGGUAUUCCGGUAGACGAUGGGGAUGCGUUCCAUUAGAUAGUAGGCGGGGUAACGGCCCACCUAGUCUUCGAUGGAUAGGGGUUCUGAGAGGAAGGUCCCCCACAUUGGAACUGAGACACGGUCCAAACUCCUACGGGAGGCAGCAGUGAGGAAUAUUGGUCAAUGGGCGAGAGCCUGAACCAGCCAAGUAGCGUGAAGGAUGACUGCCCUAUGGGUUGUAAACUUCUUUUAUAAAGGAAUAAAGUCGGGUAUGCAUACCCGUUUGCAUGUACUUUAUGAAUAAGGAUCGGCUAACUCCGUGCCAACAGCCGCGGUAAUACGGAGGAUCCGAGCGUUAUCCGGAUUUAUUGGGUUUAAAGGGAGCGUAGAUGGAUGUUUAAGUCAGUUGUGAAAGUUUGCGGCUCAACCGUAAAAUUGCAGUUGAUACUGGAUAUCUUGAGUGCAGUUGAGGCAGGCGGAAUUCGUGGUGUAGCGGUGAAAUGCUUAGAUAUCACGAAGAACUCCGAUUGCGAAGGCAGCCUGCUAAGCUGCAACUG
rnacentral:rRNA from 1 species